rfam:Massilia sp. JS1662 GAT79, whole genome shotgun sequence.
GAGCGACGGACUGUUAAUCCGCAGGUCCCUGGUUCGAGUCCAGGUCGGGGAG